CGAGUCAGAAGCAACGAAGCUGAGGCGAAACUUUUUACAUUUCAGUUUCUCCGAUUGAAAGGUACGAUUUUCUCUCUCAAUUUAGGGCUUAAACUUCUUCAGAUUUCAUCGUAAAUACUUUUAUAUGUAUAUUACAAUUCUAUAUAGUCGACAUUUCCCUCGGUCAUAGAAUUUUUUCAGUACAGACAAAAUCACUCGUAGAAAUAAUUGUGCGUAUCAGUAUAUGUAUAUAUGCGCCUUUUUCAAUUUGUAGGUGAAUGUAUUUAUCAAUGCAGUUGAAUGUUAUGUUGUUUUUUAUUUUUUGAUUUAAUUUGCUUGUGAAGUGAGCGCGGAAAGUUAAUUUGGUUACUGAUGUUAUAUUUGUGGAAAGAGAUUGGGACUUAGGAUGAUGAAAUUGAAUUUGGAUUAUAUUUUUGAAUUGAAUUACUUCUUUUUAUCCAUAUUAAUAAUUCAUUGCAAUUUUUGGAAAGUUGAAGCUAUUGGGGCUGGUUUGAUCACCCUCUCUGUUUAUGUUUUCAUACAUAUUUAAAUAAUCUUAGUUGUAGUUCUUAUUUUGAAUAUUUUGAAAUGAGCUUAAGGUUGGUUGGAUUUUGAAAAAAUUGCUUCUAAUGUUAGAUUUUUAGUUUUAUUUAUUUAUUAUUUUUUGUGGAAAUACCAAAAACAAACAAACUAAUUUGUUCUAAAUUCGAAUUGAAAAAGAAAAGAACACACUCUUAUAUCAGGACAGAAAACAAAAUAGAAAACUUUUAAUUUCCUUUGUUUUGUUUGUGAGUUAAUUAAAGAAAAUGUAACGAAGACUAACACUUCACCUUUCAAAUUUGGUUGUUUAUGUAAAUAGAAGGUAAUAUAUUGAUGAUAAAAGAAUCACUUGUAUCAUCUUAUUUGUUGCCAAAUAUAUGCCCAUUUGUGGAUAGAAAACUUUGGCUAGAAAAGUGGCUGAAGUUUUCUGUUAUUUUCUUUUGUUUUCUUUCCCUUAAAAAACUCAAAAAACAAAUGGAAAUGAACUAGUGUUUCUAUUUUUCUCCUUUCUUUUCUGUCUUCUUUAACAGUAUGUUUGUGAAUUUUAGACGGAAAGGAAAAGAAGGGAAACUUGGAAGUAGCUAAAAAAUGUAACUUUUAAUUUAGAUACCAAUGAAUGGGUCCGUUCUAAAUUCCCGACUGCCCCAAUUGCAAUACUAGGUCAUCAAUAAUUUUUUUUGUAGGAUGUUUGGACUUUAGUAUGCGGAAUGGCUGGUGGAGCAUGAGGAAUGAGCUGUACCACUUCAGUCUUUUAUUAAAUCUUCUUGUGUAUGUAUAUAGAGGGUAAUAUAGGGAUUAUACAAUAUUUACGUAUGUCAUUGGCCAAUUUUUUUAUACUUUUCUUUUCCAUCGCUUAAAAAACUCACAAACAAGAUAAAUGAACAGAAUACUUGAGCGUUCCAUCUAUUUCUUUUCUGUCCGUUUUAUAACUCACAAACAAAGUUUUAGAUUAUGGAAUGCCAUCCAGAAAUGAAUCCUCCGUCCCAGGAUAAAAGUCUUUAUUACUAUUUCAGAUAGUCCCAAGUUAAAUAUCUAUUUUCCUUAAAUGAUCUAUUUUUUAUAAUAAUUUGCCUAUAAUACCCUUAUUAUUAAUUGUUAUAUUUUUAUUCUCUAUGCAUAUUUAUGGAGUAUCACUAGUAAUGUACAGAAAACUAUGCAAUUAAAUAAAAAUUUAAAUAUGGACAAUUUUUUCAUUUUAUUCUCUUUCUUAAUAUGCGCAAAAAGUCAACCAUGACUUUUAUCCUGUGACGGAGGGAGUAUUAAAUUAGAAUGAAAUUUCAUUUUAACACCUGCCUUUUCACACAUGAUUUUCAUCUAGACGUAUAUGAGUCCAAGUGGAGGGUAAUUAAAAUGGUUGGUUCUUGUGUAAAGUGUGAAUUUUAAUGGCAGACUACACUGACAUGGGAUGGAGGUGCAAACUUGUUUAGGUUUUUCUAUCUGUACUACAUUUCUUUUCAUAUAUUAUUAAUUAAUAAACACAUUGAAAUAGGAAAAAAUUUAAAACAUUAUGGCAAGCUUAGUUUCUACUCUUGGUUGUUAGCAUUUUAUUAUUGCAUCACAUCACUCCAAAGAUGAUGAUGUUUUUAUUAAAUUCUACAAGUGAAGCUUAUUUUAGAGGUGGUGUGGCAAUGAAGGAGGGGGUUGCGUAAUAUUCGUGUCUGGAAAAGAGAGUGGGAGGAUGGGGGGAUUGCAAGUGUUGCUAUACAAAAAGCGCAUGUAGAUUCUAUUCGUAGCUACUUGUUACUUUUUAGCCACUCGAGAUUAUUUGAUAAUAGACUCAUAGUGGAUUUCAACCCUCAGUAGAAGUGUUAGGAGUCCAGUUGUCCUCUUCCAUCAUCUAUCCUUGUUUUUCGAUGUUGGAAGGAGGGAAACAUCUCGGGAAGAAUUGUUAAUCUUCAUUUGAUUUUUAGUGAGGUUUUCUCUGUUUGUAUGAAGUUCUCAUACUGGUUAUGUCAUGUAUACACGUUGUCAUUGUGCAGGAAAAUUAACUAGCUUUCAGAAUUAAGUGAGAUUUUGACAUAUCGUCAUCACUGCUAUGUGAGUAUUUUAGAAUUUGAGUUGUAAUAUUCUUUGAUGUUUCUGAAUGCUAAUUUUUGACUCGCCUUGUGACUCUAAUUAUAUGAAGUGAACCUUUGUUUCGGAUUUGCUCCUCUCCAUUACACCUUCCCUCCAAUUCUAUCCAGUACACCAAUUAUUUGAUGUUAAUAAUUUUGUUAUUAAUGAUCAAAAUAUGUUAAUAGAUAGUUAAUGAUAUUUAAGAUCAAUCCUACCAAAAAUUAGAAUCAUAAAAAAUAUUUUUCCCGUUAAAAGUUUAAAAGAAUUUUCAACCAUCGAAAUUUUGAUGAAAAAUUCACAUGUUCAAAUGGUAAAAAAAUAUCAGAUUACUUUCAUCUUAGAGCAAUAGACUACUCAAUAUUGUGAAUUAAUUGACCGGUGUUAAUUUCAGUUAUACUAUCUAAAACUAUAAAAAUAUGGUGCAUUGGAUGAAAUUAGAGGGAAUGUGUAAUGGAGGGGAGCCAAAACACUUGUUUCACUUGUUUAGGUAAUAACAAAGGAAGUACCUAUUGAAAGAAAAACUAUUGUCCUAUUUUAUAAUAUGAUCUUUAUUCAACUAAUUAUAUUUAUAUGCAUAUAUUAUCUUUAUUCUUAAUUUUGGAGUUGAGGUGAAAGUGUGCAUAGUUAAUCUUGUAUGCUCUGAAAUGAGUUUUUAUGUUGCCUGACUAUCUGGUUAUCCUGUUCAAAAGCGUUUGUUAUAAGGAGCCCAAAUUUAUGUUGGUAUAGUCAUAGCUAGUUAUCAUUAUGAAACUGGAACUAAAACUGCCUGCUCAAGUUCAUCAGAGAGUGGACUUCUAAAACUUUAAUCUGCAAGUAUCAUUAAUAAUUCCUAUUAUAAUCACAAUACUGAUGUGAUUGUGAGAAACCUACAUAAAAAAACAUCACACAUGGCCUAUCAUGUGGUGCAGCUUUGUUCCAGGUUAAUUUUCAAUGUUAAGCUAAAACAGUAAGCAAUCCAAUUAAAUGUUAAAAAAUGGUGAUUUGUUUGUAAAUUCAUCUGCCAUGAAUUAACCUGAUUGAGGCGAAAGCCACGAAACAAAUGUGUGAAAAAUUAAAGGAUAAAAGUUGGCAUCAGGAUAAACCUUUGGUGAUAAUACUAUUCAAUGCAAUCUUAAAAUAUCUAGCGAGUAGCUAUCUAGCCUCCACUUAUUGCUUUCUUUGUUUCCUUUGCUGGCAUCGAUUCAUUUGAGUUUGGUGAAGUUCGUGUGCAAUUUCCUAUGGAGAGGACGGAGGAUGAGUUUGUGUAUCACUUGGUUGAUUGAAGGAGGUGUGUAGGCUAAUGUCGUUUCGAACAAUGAGGAUUAGUCACCUUCAUGUGUUCAGUCGAGCAUUGAGAGCUAAGUGGUUGUGGAGAUUUGGGUAGAGGAGUUUGUGAAGAGGAAGGUAGUGGCUCAAUUGUGGUGAACUGGUGAUUUAAUUUGUAUGAAGUUGUGAAUCUCGUUUCUUAUAUGGGUUCAGGUUGUUAAAGUCAAUAUCCAGUGGUGUGAGGAAGUUCAGUAAUCUCACAGAAGUGGUAUUAGGCGGUGGACAAGGGUGAGUGUUUGGCUUGAAAUAUAUGUUUGCAUAACUUAUCAGAAAAAUAUAUUUGCAUAAUUUGUACUUUUAACUCAACUAAACAUGUGUUAACAUCAACCAACACCACAUCAAAUCAUUAAUGCUCCUUAUCUAGGUUUGGGUUCCUCAAUGCAUAAUCUUCAUUUUAAGAUGCUACCUUUCUUAUGUACAAUACUUUAGGGCGGAUGAGGAACUUGUUGAUCAAAAGAAGUAUCUUGAAGACACUUGCAAGUCUAAGUGCGUGAAGCCUUUACUAGGAUAUCAGGUGAACCAUACUGAGACUUAUCUAGAAACAUAUUCUUCAUGUGUGUAUUUGAUAUGUUUUCUUGUAUUUAUGUCUGGUUCCAUUGGUUUUUGAUGGUUGGGUGUGUUAGGUUGAACUUAUUAGAUGUAUUCUGAGCAUGGUUCAUUCGGAUAUUUUUGUAAGAGUGUUGCUUAAAAAUUAGUAUUUGUCGUGGCAGACACUUAACUCUGCAUCUAGUCCUACUUGAAGCACAGACUCAAAAAGGCGUUCAUGUUGAUUACGCAUGUGCAUGUUCUGAACCAUCAGUUGAUUGUCUUGUUUCUAUCACCUAUAUCUGCUUCCCUCCUUCACCUGAGAAUUGCGACGCUAUUAGAGUAUAUUAUUAUUAUUACUUGGUCACCAAGAUUACUUGGUCACCAAGUAUGCUUGGUGCCCACACACACUUGAUGACCAAGUAAUAAUAGUAUAAUAUUCUAAUACUCCCCCUCAAGUUGAAAAUAUUAUAUCAUGGCUUACAACUUGUUACAUAACAAAAUAAAAGACUCAAAAUCAACUACGAAAGACUCCUUGCCUAAUAAUAAUAUACUCUAAUACUUGGUCACCAAGUAAUAAUAAUAAUAAUAUACUCUAAUAGACGCGAAGUGCUGUCUUUUGAAUUGUGCAAUUGUUGUUGAUCUAGGACAAGGUGGAAGGAGGAGUAAAGAGGAUUAAAAGAAGAUAAUUAGCUAAAAAGUAUCAAAGUUCAAUAAUAAUCAGUCAUUUAAUAAAUUAAAAUGAUGGGUUACAUCAUUUAUAUAGAACUAUAAGAAAACCCCUUAAAACUUAAUGACCAAGUAAAUAUAAUUUAAAAAGGAAACAGAAUCUCUAAUGAUUAUUUAUUAGUAUAUAUCUACUAUCUCCAAUGACUAUCUACUACUAUUUAUCAACUAUUAUUGUGGAAUAACUACUAAUAUAAUUUUACUACAAGUAUUAUCUACUAAAUAAACUAAUUACAUUGAAAUCAUCCGUAAACUAGUAUAAUAAUCUGCUGCUGAUUCGCGAACUCACUUUUCAAACUCGAGAAUUGAAAAUUUCCUGAUCUAUUAUCUACAUAUGGUCCAAAUCUGACUUUGUAUAUUGCUCCUGAAAUCAAUAUUUUGAUGAUUUUGAACUCCUUCAUCCCCAGAAAAUAUAUGAAUAAGACCUAUUGCAGAAGAAUGAGACUUGAGGAAGAAC
rnacentral:lncRNA from 1 species